CCUACGGGGCGCUGCAGUGGGGAAUAUUGGACAAUGGGCGAAAGCCUGAUCCAGCCAUGCCGCGUGUGUGAAGAAGGCCUUCGGGUUGUAAAGCACUUUCAGUGGGGAAGAAAGCCUUGGGGCUAAUACCCUCGAGGAAGGACAUCACCCACAGAAGAAGCACCGGCUAACUCCGUGCCAGCAGCCGCGGUAAUACGGAGGGUGCGAGCGUUAAUCGGAAUUACUGGGCGUAAAGCGCGCGUAGGCGGUCUGAUAAGCCGGUUGUGAAAGCCCCGGGCUCAACCUGGGAACGGCAUCCGGAACGGUCAGGCUAGAGUGCAGGAGAGGAAGGUAGAAUUCCCGGUGUAGCGGUGAAAUGCGUAGAGAUCGGGAGGAAUACCAGUGGCGAAGGCGGCCUUCUGGACUGACACUGACGCUGAGGUGCGAAAGCGUGGGUAGCAAACAGGAUUAGAUACCCCGGUAGUC
rnacentral:rRNA from 1 species